rnacentral:lncRNA from 1 species
AGCACUUUACCCUAAUUUGCGUUCUUUGUACCUUCCUAUCAAAGGUCAUGUCCCGUAAGCUGUAACUGCCCUAUGUCCUUCUUAAUCACCUCCCUCCAAUAUUUCUUCAAUUUACCCCAAUCCUGUCUAAAAUUAUCCAUAGUCAGCUGCCCACACAUUUAAAUUGGAGCAUCCACAUCCCCUUUGAUCACAUGGCUGAACCAACGUAAUCUCACUUCUCGUAUCUUAUCCUCUACCAAAGCUACUCUCACCUUUUCCCAAAUAAUCUUAUUUCUAACCGUAUCUCUC